rnacentral:lncRNA from 1 species
ACUUCAAGUGCCAAGUACGAGUCCUAAACGUCCAGGCACUAAAGGCAGCUUUUACUAACAAUGUUAGGGAAAUCCUGAGAAGAGGUACGUAAGAUCCGCGGAUUCUAUCGAAGUAAGGACGGUUCAAAAGCAAAUACGACCAGUUCGACACCUACGCUUAUUGAGGUAAGCGCUUUCUUUAGCAGUGAUGUAAGAAAUCCGGUAGUACUUAUAUCAAAUAUCAAAUAUAGAAAGUCUUGCAGGGCGGUUAAGCCUAUUCGUAGGAAGGUAGGGAUACGUGGUUGAAGGACCA